GAUGAACGCUGGCGGCGUGCCUAAUACAUGCAAGUCGAGCGAACAGACGAGGAGCUUGCUCCUCUGACGUUAGCGGCGGACGGGUGAGUAACACGUGGAUAACCUACCUAUAAGACUGGGAUAACUUCGGGAAACCGGAGCUAAUACCGGAUAAUAUAUUGAACCGCAUGGUUCAAUAGUGAAAGACGGUUUUGCUGUCACUUAUAGAUGGAUCCGCGCCGCAUUAGCUAGUUGGUAAGGUAACGGCUGACCAAGGCAACGAUGCGUAGCCGACCUGAGAGGGUGAUCGGCCACACUGGAACUGAGACACGGUCCAGACUCCUACGGGAGGCAGCAGUAGGGAAUCUUCCGCAAAGGGCGAAAGCUUGACGGAGCAACGCCGCGUGAGUGAUGAAGGUCUUCGGAUCGUAAAACUCUGUUAUUAGGGAAGAACAAAUGUGUAAGUAACUAUGCACGUCUUGACGGUACCUAAUCAGAAAGCCACGGCUAACUACGUG
rnacentral:rRNA from 1 species